ACGUAGGGCGCAAGCGUUGUCCGGAAUUAUUGGGCGUAAAGAGCUCGUAGGCGGCUUGUUGCGUCGACUGUGAAAACCCGUGGCUCAACCAUGUGGUCUGCAGUCGAUACGGGCAGGCUAGAAUUCGGUAGGGGAGACUGGAAUUCCUGGUGUAGCGGUGAAAUGCGCAGAUAUCAGGAGGAACACCGAUGGCGAAGGCAGGUCUCUGGGCCGAUAUUGACGCUGAGGAGCGAAAGCGUGGGGAGCGAACAGGAUUAGAUACCCUGGUAGUCCACGCUGUAAACGUUGGGCGCUAGGUGUGGGGGGCCUCUCCGGUUCUCUGUGCCGCAGCUAACGCAUUAAGCGCCCCGCCUGGGGAGUACGGCCGCAAGGCUA
rnacentral:rRNA from 1 species